UGGGGAAUAUUGCACAAUGGGCGCAAGCCUGAUGCAGCCAUGCCGCGUGUGUGAAGAAGGCCUUCGGGUUGUAAAGCACUUUCAGCGAGGAGGAAGGGCAGUGUGUUAAUAGCACAUUGCAUUGACGUUACUCGCAGAAGAAGCACCGGCUAACUCCGUGCCAGCAGCCGCGGUAAUACGGAGGGGGCAAGCGUUAAUCGGAAUUACUGGGCGUAAAGCGCACGCAGGCGGUUUGUUAAGUCAGAUGUGAAAUCCCCGCGCUUAACGUGGGAACUGCAUUUGAAACUGGCAAGCUAGAGUCUUGUAGAGGGGGGUAGAAUUCCAGGUGUAGCGGUGAAAUGCGUAGAGAUCUGGAGGAAUACCGGUGGCGAAGGCGGCCCCCUGGACAAAGACUGACGCUCAGGUGCGAAAGCGUGGGGAGCAAACA
rnacentral:rRNA from 1 species